ACACAGACACUCCCACACAAAAUCCUCCCCUCUGUCUGUGACAAAAUUACCUUACACAAUGGGUAAUCUAAUUAUCACAAACAGAGAAAUACAGUUUCAUAAAACACAUCACAGGGACCCCAAAACAUGCAAUAACCCCAUAUAUCCUUGGAACCGGGGGAUCUGGGUGAACCACCUAUCCAAAAUUCCCCCAGAUCCGUUCAGUACUUUGGAAGAUACAGUUUAAUGCAGAUUCUGCAGAACAUAUACAGGCUAAAUGAAAAACAAUCACUGUAUAAUGUGUCCCCUGCUGUAUAGUCCAAAAUCACUGCACGAUGUCUCUGUGCACCAAAUACUGGCGAGAUGGCACCGUGUUGAAAAGUCCAAACAGUGUCUGUGAGUUAAAAUGGCCGCCAUCCAUUGUUCUCACCAUGUGCUUCUGAUACAGGAAAUGGUGGCCACCCAGUGACUCCACAGUAUGUCCCCAGAUGGUUCUUAAAGGGCCAGCAGCAGCACAACACAAAUCCAUUAUGCCCAAAUCAUGUCUUUAAAGGGCAAUACAUCCCAGGGGCCAUAGUCACAUGGCAGGAGGCU